GGGCCCGCACAAGCGGUGGAGCAUGUGGCUUAAUUCGAUGCAACGCGAAGAACCUUACCUGGGCUCGAACGCUAUCUGACAGACCCUGAAAGGGGUCCUUCUUCGGACGGAUAGUGAGGUGCUGCAUGGCUGUCGUCAGCUCGUGUCGUGAGAUGUUGGUUAAGUCCCGCAACGAGCGCAACCCCUAUUACUAGUUACCAGCACGUUAUGGUGGGGACUCUAGUGAGACUGCCUGCGCAAGCAGUGAGGAAGGUGGGGACGACGUCAAGUCAUCAUGGCCCUUAUGCCCAGGGCUGCACACGUGCUACAAUGGUCGGUACAAUGGGCUGCCACCUCGCGAGAGGGAGCUAA
rnacentral:rRNA from 1 species